rnacentral:ncRNA from 1 species
GUCUUCAGGGCAGGGUGAAAUUCCCGAUCGGCGGUACAGUCCGCGAGCGAUGCUGCGCUGGCAGCAAAGCAGAACCGGUUCGAUUCCGGUACCGACAGUGAAAGUCUGGAUGGAAGAAGAU